AAUAUUCCGCAAUGCGCGAAGGCGUGACGGAGCAAUGCCGCGUGCAGGAUGAAGUCCCUCGGGGUGUAAACUGCUGUCAGGGACUAGGAAUAAAUGACCAACCCCAAAGGAAGGGCCGGCUAACUUUGUGCCAGCAGCCGCGGUAAUACAGAGGGCCCGAGCGUUGAUCGGAAUCACUGGGCUUAAAGGGUUCGUAGGCGGAUUGGUAAGUAUGUUGUGAAAUCCCACGGCUCAACCGUGGAAUUGCUUCGUAGACUGCCAAUCUUGAGCACGACAGGGGCCAUCAGAACUCUAGGUGGAGCGGUGAAAUGCGUAGAUAUCUAGAGGAAUGCCAAAGGUGAAGACAGAUGGCUGGGUCGUCGCUGACGCUCAGGAACGAAAGCAUGGGUAGCGAACGGGAUUAGAUACCCCGGUAGUCCAUGCCCUA
rnacentral:rRNA from 1 species